rnacentral:lncRNA from 8 species
AUUUCCUAGACUAAAAAUGUAUUUGAAUAUAAAGUUGCUUUUUUCUAAUGCAUAAUUCAACUAAAUAAAUGCAUUUAAUUAUGUAUUUGUCAAUGCCAUGGAAUGGCCAUACAUAGAUUGGUUGAGUUAUACACGCACAACCAGAUACAGCUGGUCGGACUUCUUAACCUGUGACACUACCCGGAAAUAGAAUACAGACCGGAAGCUACCAUUUUAAGGAGAAGAACAUUAGCAGCCGUAGCCCCUAGACGGGUACACAUAAAAUUGACACGGGGCGGAAAAUAUUUGACCGAAGAAAAAUAAUGAAAAUACGACAAAAACUCCAGAAAGGGCUCAUUUGGAAGAGUUAACGAUUCAAGCAUCUGCUUCAAAUAAGAAACAUAUCUGAAUUAGCAGGCCAACCCAGCGGAAAUAGUUUUUGUUAACAACGAGUCGAAAAUAGCCCUCCUGGGCCGAUGGAGAGGCAGGCCUUUGAAAAUAUUUUUCCCUGGAUGAAGAAAAAUGGCAAUCUGACAUAAAAAAAAGGAGGCCGUUGUAGUUAUCACGGCAUUUCCCGCGCACUUUUUAUUAUAUAUUUUUUUCUUUAACCAUUUUGGCAGGGGAUUUGAAUGCUAGAUAUAAUGUUAGCUAAAACGACAGCUAUCAACCUAGUUAUUAUCUUUGUGGCUAGGUUAGCUUAGGAUCAGCUACCUAUGCAACCAGGCGUUCAUACGAGAUUCUAAAUUAUUAGCUAACUAGCUAACAACGACAUGAUUGGAAGACUCCUGUAUUCAAAUCCAAAUAACUUUUUCUUGUUACUUUGGUUGAAAACUGUAGGCAGCCGCCUAUAAAAAACAAAACAAAAAAAGUUAGUCUAGUUAGCUACCUACCUGAAGAUCAAUGGAAGUAGACCCAUUCGUUUCUACCUGUUCCCCCCUUUUGAUCUUCAUUCAAGAAGAAUGCGCGACACCAGUCUCCAGACCAUAUACAUUCCACCAAACCUGUUGUCUUCGAGAUCGUGACAUCAACGGGCAGACAAAGAAGUGGAACACCUGUUUAUCCUUCAUCUCCCCAGCUGGAUGCUGACAGCUUCACAUUUUUGUAGGGCGAGUGACCCAGGAACAAC